GUAAUAAUAUAGUUAUGUUAGCAUGUCAAUUAUUGUUGUAGUUCAAUUAAAAAGAGCCCAGUAUUUUGGAGAACUCCUCAUAAGUCGUUUAGACAGGCCUGCUUAUGCAGAUUCGGAUUCAGAAGAAACAGUUGACAGUGACCCACAUGAAAGUCAGUUGGCUGGUGAUGGGAUUGGGGAUGACGGUGGCAUGCGUUAGCUAAAGUUUGGUCUAUUUGUUAUCCAAUAAGAUAGGAAGGCGUGCGAGAGUUUAUGCGUUUUUCCUUCAUCUGUUUCAUGUUUUUUUUUUCUUGGAAGACAUCUUUUUUCACUUCUUUUUGGCCGGCAAGUUUUGCCAAGGAAACAAUUUAUGGCCCAUGGUUUAAUAAAGUUUAAGCACGCCCCUUUGUAGGCGUAUUGUCUUA